UCCUCAAGUCAAUAUUUACAUUUGCUUUUGCAGGCACCUGAUAUAUUAGCAAUCCAGGAUGUCUUUAAAGUAAAUUAUCAGUUUGGUGCUUCCAGGAUUCUCAGACGGUAUACAUUCUGAUCCUAAACCUGUAUGAGGCUUUUUCCUGAUAAGCUGUCCUGUUGAGAAAAACUAUUUGCUCUUCAUUGUUUUACAUCUGACUCCUCCAGGAAGCUGGGACCUAAAUAAAAAUGGACAAUUAGGAUGGUGGAUAGAUACAAAAUUUUGGACUGAGUUUGGGUCCAUAUCAAAGUAAUCUGAGGCUGCUGAUAAAAGAGUAUUCCAAGAGUUUGGCAAGGAUCUGACUUACUUCUGCCUAUAGCCUGUCAUCCAAUAGCCCAUGCGAAUUCAGAAGCUGGACUUCUCAUCUGUAUCUGGAAAAGAAACGGAGAAUGGCAUCAUGUUGGGACAUUUUAAUGGCCAUCUCAGACAUCUGAAAGACUGACAGGCUGUGACUGCUGCAAGGUGGAAAUAACAUAACAUCACCUUCCUCCUACUCUCAUCAGAAUGCUGCUAUAAACAACUGCAAUAAUAUCUAAAAUCAGUCAGAUUGGGGUGGUGGGAGGAGAGGCCAGGG